rnacentral:rRNA from 1 species
UACGUAGGUGACAAGCGUUGUCCGGAUUUACUGGGCGUAAAGAGCGCGCAGGCGGUCGUUCAAGUCGAGUGUGAAAGCCCCCGGCUCAACUGGGGAGGGUCACUCGAUACUGAUCGACUCGAAGGCAGGAGAGGGUAGUGGAAUUCCCGGUGUAGUGGUGAAAUGCGUAGAUAUCGGGAGGAACACCAGUGGCGAAGGCGACUACCUGGCCUGUUCUUGACGCUGAGGCGCGAAAGCUAGGGGAGCGAACGGG